rnacentral:rRNA from 1 species
CUUGACAUCCAGCGAACUUGGCAGAGAUGCCUUGGUGCCUUCGGGAACGCUGAGACAGGUGCUGCAUGGCUGUCGUCAGCUCGUGUUGUGAAAUGUUGGUUAAGUCCGCAACGAGCGCAACCCUUAUCCUUUGUUGCCAGCGAUUCGGUCGGGAACUCAAAGGAGACUGCCGGUGAUAAACCGGAGGAAGGUGGGGAUGACGUCAAGUCAUCAUGGCCCUUACGAGUAGGGCUACACACGUACUACAAUGGCGCAUACAAAGAGAAGCGACCUCGCGAGAGCAAGCGGACCUCAUAAAGUGCGUCGUAGUCCGGAUCGGAGUCUGCAACUCGACUCCGUGAAGUCGGAAUCGCUAGUAAUCGUGGAUCAGAAUGCCACGGUGAAUACGUUCCCGGGCCUUGUACACACCGCCCGUCACACCAUGGGAGUGGGUUGCAAAAGAAGUAGGUAGCUUAACCUUCGGGAGGGCGCUUACCACUUUGUGAUUCAUGACUGGGGUGAAGUCGUAACAAGGUAAGCGUAGCGAG